AGUCUGUAUACAGGUGGUGCAUGGUUGUCGUCAGCUCGUGUCGUGAGAUGUUGGGUUAAGUCCCGCAACGAGCGCAACCCCUGUUCUUAGUUGCCAGCGAGUAGAGUCGGGAACUCUAAGAAGACUGCCGGUGAUAAAUCGGAGGAAGGUGGGGACGACGUCAAAUCAUCAUGCCCUUUAUGUCCUGGGCUACACACGUACUACAAUGGCUGUAACAAAGGGAAGCGAAAGAGUGAUCUGGAGCAAAACCCAAAAAAGCAGUCUCAGUUCGGAUUGAAGGCUGAAAUUCGCCUUCAUGAAGCCGGAAUUGCUAGUAAUGGCAGGUCAGCAUACUGCCGUGAAUACGUUCCCGGGCCUUGUACACACCGCCCGUCACACCAUGAGAGUUGGGGAUACCCGAAGCCUGUGAGCCAACUUUAUAAGAGGCUGCAGUCGAAGGUAGAAUCAAUGAUUGGGGUGAAGUCGUAACAAGGUAGCCGUAUCGGAAGGUGCGGCUGGAUCACCUC
rnacentral:rRNA from 1 species